GUAGCCCUUGAACCCUCCACUUUACUGCCUUUCCUUCAUUCAACAGGCAACAAGGACAUGACACGCCCCCUCACCCCCAGUGCCUGUGCUGAGCUAAAAAGGUGUGGUUUAAACUACUUGGAAGAGGCGAGACCCCAGUGGACUGUCAGCCCUUUAGUUGUGACCCUGGAUUUGGUCAUUGGCAAGAAGGCUGGGCCAAGACCUUUUCCAAACGUGGGAGCCUAAGGAUGAAGAGUUAUCUAAGACAGUUGCUAUUUCAGUCCAGAACUUGAAGCUAAAAAUGUUCGA